rnacentral:rRNA from 1 species
GACAGAGGUGCCGAGCGUUAGGCGGAAUCACUGGGCUUAAAGCGUGUGUAGGCGGAUCGUUAAGUGUCUUGUGAAAUCCCACGGCUCACCCGUGGAACUGCUGGGCAUACUGGCGAUCUUGGGCCAACUAGGGGCAGUCGGAACAAGCGGUGGAGCGGUGAAAUGCGUAGAUAUCGCUUGGAACGCCGAAGGUGAAAACAGACUGCUGGGGUUGCGCCGACGCUGAGACACGAAAGCCAGGGGAGCAAACGGG